rnacentral:rRNA from 1 species
AUGCGCACCACCUCCAUGGGCACCUCGGUCGCCGUCACCGUCGCCUUCGCGGUCGUCCUCUUCCUUGCGCGGGCAACCCAUGCCGAGAUCAGGACAACGCUCAUCGUGUCGGACGCGCGGCCCCUGAUCCUCUUCGAGCAGUUUGGCUUCGCGCGAGGCGGCAAGGCUGCCCUCUCCAUCCGCCGCUCGGCAUGGAACCUCCGGCCGGGGUCACGCCUCGCCGGAGUCGACCCCACCCUCAUGGGAUUCGUCCUCAUCUCGGGAGCGCAGUUCCCGAAGAUCAACAACGCGUCCCAGUACGCCGCCGCCGACCCAGGAGGCGGCAGCUUCUGCGUACUCACGAGCGGGUUCGCCGUCCCGAUGAUCCGGCUCAGCGACGUGCCGCCUGGAGGCGCCACCAGCAUCCUGAGCAUCGACGACCCCGACGAGUACGCGGUGGUGUUCGACAACUGCCAGGAGGGCGCGGAGGUGACCAUGGACGUGCGCACCGAGAUGUACAACGUGCGGGGCGGCGUCCCCGACGGGCUGAGGGACUACCUCCCCGUGGGGCUCCAGCCGCUGCCCAACAUCUACACCGUGGUGUCGGUGGUGUACUUCGUGUUCCUGGCGGUGUGGGUGUGGACGUGCCUGCGGAAGCGCGCGGCGGCGGAGCGGAUCCACGUGGUGAUGGGCGCGCUGCUGCUGUUCAAGGCGCUCAAGAUGGCGUGCGCGGCGGAGGACACGUGGUACGUGGAGUCCACGGGCACGCCGCACGGCUGGGACGUCGCCUUCUACGUCUUCGGCUUCUUCAAGGGCGUCCUGCUCUUCACCGUCAUCGUGCUCAUCGGCACCGGCUGGUCCUUUCUCAAGCCCUACCUCCAGGAGCGGGAGAAGAACGUGCUGAUGAUAGUGAUCCCGCUGCAAGUGAUCGAAAACCUGGUGCUGGUGGUGAUCGGGGAGACGGGGCCGACGGGGCGGGACUGGGUGGUGUGGAACCACGUGUUCCUGCUGGUGGACGUCAUCUGCUGCUGCGCCGUCUUCUUCCCCAUCAUCUGGUCCAUCCGGGGCCUGCGCGAGGCCUCCAAGACCGACGGCAAGGCGGCGCGCAACCUCCACAAGCUCACCCUCUUCAAGCGCUUCUACAUCGUCGUCGUCGGCUACCUCUACUUCACCCGGAUCAUCGUCUCCGCCUUCCUCGCCGUGCUCAACUACAAGUACCAGUGGGGCGUCAACGUCGCCGUCGAGGCCGCCAGCUUCGCCUUCUAUGUCUUCGUCUUCUACAACUUCCACCCGGUGGAGAAGAACCCGUACCUGUACGUCGGCGACGACGAGGAGGAGUCUGCCGGUGGACAGCUCGAGAUGGACGAGCGGGCUUUCUAA